rnacentral:tRNA from 2 species
GCCGUUGUAGCUCAGUUGGUAGAGCAACUGAUUCGUAAUCAGUAGGUCGGAGGUUCAAUUCCUCUCAACGGCA